ACAGAGGGGCCCACAGAUAAAAAACAUCAGGACAACAAUACAAAGGGGAUACACAUCCAUUCAUAGAAGAGAUUCACGGAUACAGUGGAAGGGAGGAACAAAAACACACCAUUUUUUUUCUCAACAAGCUCACACGCACACACCAUAACAUGGGCAACAUUCCAUCUUCACUUGGCCCUCACUGAGUACACACACCACAGAAUUCCCCAUUGAUCUUCACUCAAAAAAUACCACGACAUCACACAAGCACACAGUGAGAGUAAAUUGGAGUAAGCGAAACAGAGAUAAGGGAGGGAGAUCAAGAAAAUUGAGCUAAAAGAUUGAGAGAGGAGAGAAAACUGAGUCGAGAAUUGAGAAAAAGAGGAAAGAAAAUAGGUGAGGGCUCACUGUUCCGGCAAAUUUUUGCCAAAAAUGCUACUGUUGCAUCAAUUCAACCCGUCUUCUCCGGUUCUCAUCACAGUCGGAGCUCGUCGAGCUCUGACAAGAUGAAAAAAGAAAACUCCAUCGCUAUUUCGGCCAAAUCGGUUUAGCCCGAGACACCAUCGUCUAAUUCUAGCAAGAAUCGCCGGAGAACAAUUGGAACAGUAACGGUAUAUAUAUGAAUUGGGUACGAGUCUUCUCUGUUUCAAGAUUUCGUUUGGUUCGGGCUGGGAAUAAAAUAGAACAAAAGGGUGAAAUCGAAGAUUGGGAGGUUUGAAUUGAGGUUCCAACGCGGACUCUAUCCCGUUUAAUAGAAUAAUACUCCAAGUUUGAAAGCGGCAUAGAGGUUUUCAGAGAGAUCCAUUAAGGAUACCAGUAAGUGCCAGAAAGUGAGCUAGCAUAUAUUUGGUGUAGAAGCAUUUGAUAUCUCCAAAAACAAAAUUUUCAAUUAAGGGCAGAUUUGAUGUGGACAAUCAGUGACUUUCCAGCAUAUUCUAUGUUAUCAGGAUGGAGUACUGCAGAAACACUUCUAUUGGGAUUCUUCCAUUACCGAUGCAGCAGUAAAGAAACACUGAUAGAGUAAGACAACAACUGUGUAUAGAAAUUUCAUUGCUAAAAUCAAAGAGAAAGGGAUUAGGCAAGAUUUUAUACAUGAAGAUGUCUGGGAAAGCUGGCAACGACUUUGGGCGAAUCCAAAGUGUGUUGAAAAGUCCCAAAUAAUGCACAAAAUCAUCGUGGAGGCAAAGAAGUCGCUGCUGGAACUCACACGGGAGGAUCUAUCUCAAUUGGAGAGUACCGAAAGAGACUUGCUGCUGAAAUGGGUUGAGAUCCGACACCAAGUGAGUUAUAUUUGCAUGUUCACACACAUGGUCAUGAUGGAAAAUCUUUCGUUGAUGAACGUUCCCAAAUCGUCCAUGAAAGAUUUGAAGAAAUAUUACGAGAAAAAACAUUAUUAGAAUCUGUUAUUGAUCGAAUUGAAGCAUAUUACCAAGCUGCCGGAGGAGAAAAGAAGCGAAGAAUAUUUGGUCUUGGAUCUGAAGCCAAAGGCUACUACGGCCAAACUCUAUGUAUUUCUUGUGGAAAGACUUCAUCUUCAGCUUCACAUGAAUCGGUACUAGCUGCAGAUUCGGAUUUGGAUGAGUUUGUGAAGCGAUUGAUUCCCUCACUUAAAAAUCAAUUUUUUCCUAUUGUCAUUGAAGAGGUACAGAAGUUGGUUUCUUGACGAUCAGUUGUCACACCUCCGGCUACUCCUUUGGACGAUCUUGAUUCCUUAAAUGAUGAUUGCAAUGAUCUUCAUCCGUUGUGAUACUUUUGACGAUCAGUGCAUUGGUUUUUGAUGGUCUAUGUUGUUAGUUUUUGAUGGUCUAUUUUGUUGAACCGUUUAAAAUUGUGCAAUAAAAAAUUACACUUGAUAGAUGUAGGUAUUGAGGAUGUUUUGGACAUACUUAGGUGUUUAGAUGUUGCUAUGUUUGGUAUUGAGGAUGUUUAGAAUUUUUCUAUCUA